UACGUAGGGUGCAAGCGUUAAUCGGAAUUACUGGGCGUAAAGCGUGCGCAGGCGGUUUUGUAAGACAGAUGUGAAAUGCCCGGGCUUAACCUGGGAACUGCAUUUGUGACUGCAAGGCUAGAGUGUGUCAGAGGGGGGUAGAAUUCCACGUGUAGCAGUGAAAUGCGUAGAUAUGUGGAGGAAUACCGAUGGCGAAGGCAGCCCCCUGGGAUAACACUGACGCUCAUGCACGAAAGCGUGGGGAGCAAACAGG
rnacentral:rRNA from 1 species